rnacentral:rRNA from 1 species
AACGAACGCUGGCGGCAUGCCUAACACAUGCAAGUCGAACGAGACCUUCGGGUCUAGUGGCGCACGGGUGCGUAACGCGUGGGAACCUGCCCUUAGGUUCGGAAUAACUCCCCGAAAGGGGUGCUAAUACCGGAUAAUGUCUUCGGACCAAAGAUUUAUCGCCUUUGGAUGGGCCCGCGUUGGAUUAGCUAGUUGGGAGGGUAAAAGCCUACCAAGGCGACGAUCCAUAGCUGGUCUGAGAGGAUGAUCAGCCACACUGGGACUGAGACCCGGCCCAGACUCCUACGGGAGGGAGCAGUGGGGAAUAUUGGACACUGGGCGAAAGCCUGAUCCAGCAAUGCCGCGUGAGUGAUGCAGGCCUUAGGGUUGUAAAGCUCUUUUACCCGAGAUGAUAAUGACAGUACCGGGAGAAUAAGCUCCGGCUAACUCCGUG